CUAGAGUUUGAUCCUGGCUCAAGACGAACGCUGGCGGCGUGCCUAGUACAUGCAAGUCGAGCGGACUUGAUGGAGUGCUUGCACUCCUGAUGGUUAUCGGCGGACUGGGGAGUAACACGUAGGCAACCUGCCCGCGAGACUGGGAUAACUACCGGAUGCGGUAGCUAGGACCGGGUGAUUUAUUUCGCCACGUAAGGGAAUACUGAAGGAGGGAGCGGUCAGUCGCUUCCCGGAUGGCCGGCACCGGGUGGGCUAAUUGGGGAGAGGAGUCAGUAUUACAGAGGAGAACAAGGGACACAAGAGGGCAAGGGGUGCCGUGGGGGGGAGGAGGGGGGGGAGGAGGGGCGGGUGGGAGCGAGAAGGGGGAGAGGGCAGGGAUCUGAGGGGGGGGGAGGUAGGAGACAAGGCAGGGAUGGGGGAGGAAGGGGAAAGAAAAAAGGGGGGGGGGGAAGGGGGUAUGGGGGCCGCCGGGGGGGAGGGGACGGGGGGGGCGGGGGGGGUCCAGAGGGGAGGGGGGACGUGGAGGGAGGGGGCCGCGGUGCCGAAGGGGGAGGGGGGGGGGAGGGGAGGGAGGGGGGGGGGUGUGGUGGGGGGGGGGGGGGAGGGGAGAAUAAUAGGAGAGAGGGAGGAGAGGGGGGGGGGAUGGGAUUGGGGGAGGGGGGGCGGGGAAGCGGAGGGGGGGGACGUGGCGGGAAGGGGAGUGGGGAGUAGAUGGGGAGGGGAGGGGGGGGGGGGGGGGGGGGACGGGGAGGGAGGAGGGGGCGAGAGAGGGGGGAGUGGGGGGGGAGGGGGGGAUGUGGGCGGGGGAGGGCGAGGAGGGGGGGUGCUGGUGGGCGGGGGUGGUCUUGGGUGGAGAGAGGGGGG
rnacentral:rRNA from 1 species